rnacentral:rRNA from 1 species
AUUGAACGCUGGCGGCAGGCCUAACACAUGCAAGUCGAACGGUAGCACAGAGAGCUUGCUCUCGGGUGACGAGUGGCGGACGGGUGAGUAAUGUCUGGGAAACUGCCUGAUGGAGGGGGAUAACUACUGGAAACGGUAGCUAAUACCGCAUAACGUCGCAAGACCAAAGUGGGGGACCUUCGGGCCUCAUGCCAUCAGAUGUGCCCAGAUGGGAUUAG